UGCAACAGUCGAGGUAUACGUACGGUCCAUAUGGACGCGACAGCCGUCGCCGUCUCUCGUUGCCGUGAUGUAAAUCGGGAAACAGUGCUGUGAGGAUGCUCGAUCGAAUUUCUGGACUGAAUGCUCAAAACGUACGUAAAGGACCACAAAGGCUCGUUAUCGCACGAUAUUACCUGCCAGCCCGAGAUUACUUCGUUCCGAGUUUCCCCGCGGGACAAACGUCGCGCCAAACCGACAUCGUCGUAGAAUUGCGUUGGCAACGGAAAAACGUUGCGAUGAUCCCAAAGUACAUACUACAUGGGCGUCAUGUUUUUAAUGAAAGCACACGCAGUUCUUAGCGGACAUUGAUAUCAGAAAGUGGACAGCCUCAUGAAUAAAUGGACCACUAACCUCCUAUAACAGGAUGGCGAAAGUGAGAAGAUGAGAAUGUCACGUUACAUUCGCAGCUUUCCACUUCGCUACGUCGACAAUGAGAUAUUUAUUCGAUCAAAUAACGACAUUCAUUUCACUCAACAAAUAUAAAUCGAACAGAAUAAUAAUAAUAAAUAGUAGUAAUUAGGUAAUUAGUAGGUUCUAAAAUGAAUGUGGUAAUAAUAGUAGUAAUAAUUUUGUACUUUUGAAAUACACGUUAUGUUGUUAUGUAUAAUAUUCUGACAUCUGUAUUUACAAUUAGAUGCACAUGUCUCUAGGUUAAUAUGUAUGUCAUUUUACAAUACAGUUAAUAUAAUAGUAUGAUAAUAGUUUGCUUCCCGGUUUUAAUUGAAAAAUGGCGUUGCUGACCUAACUUUGACGUUAUUUCGCUCUGAUUAGAGGGUCUUUAAUAAUAAUGUAAUAAAAUAAUCCUCCUAGACGGCGAAUAAAGAAUCAAAUAUCUUA